rnacentral:piRNA from 1 species
UGCCCUUGAAAUGAUCAGCUGGACAAGGCC